CGUAAAGCGCAUGCAGGCGGUCUGUUAAGUCAGAUGUGAAAGCCCCGGGCUUAACCUGGGAGUGGCAUUUGAGACUGGCAGGCUAGAGUCUUGUAGAGGGGGGUAGAAUUCCAGGUGUAGCGGUGAAAUGCGUAGAGAUCUGGAGGAAUAUCGGUGGCGAAGGCGGCCCCCUGGACAAAGACCGACGCUCAGAUGCGAAAGCGUGGGUAGCAAACAGGAUUAGAUACCCUGGUAGUCCACGCCGUAAACGAUGUCUACUUGAAGGUUGGGAUCUUGAAUUCUGGCCUUCGGAGCUAACGCGUUAAGUAGACCGCCUGGGGAGUACGGUCGCAAGAUUAAAACUCAAAUGAAUUGACGGGGGCCCGCACAAGCGGUGGAGCAUGUGGUUUAAUUCGAUGCAACGCGAAGAGCCUUACCUNNNCNUGACAUCCAGAGAAGCCAGCAGAGAUGCAGGUGUGCCUUCGGGAANUNUGAGACAGGUGCUGCAUGGCUGUCGUCAGCUCGUGUUGUGAAAUGUUGGGUUAAGUCCCGCAACGAGCGCAACCCUUAUCCUUGUUUGCCAGCACGUAAUGGUGGGAACUCCAGGGAGACUGCCGGUGAUAAACCGGAGGAAGGUGGGGACGACGUCAAGUCAUCAUGGCCCUUACGAGUAGGGCUACACACGUGCUACAAUGGUGCAUACAGAGGGAAGCAAGAGCGCGAGCUGGAGCGGAUCCCAAAAAGUGCAUCGUAGUCCGGAUUGGAGUCUGCAACUCGACUCCAUGAAGUCGGAAUCGCUAGUAAUCGUGGAUCAGAAUGCCACGGUGAAUACGUUCCCGGGCCUUGUACACACCGCCCGUCAUC
rnacentral:rRNA from 1 species